AACGAACGCUGGCGGCGUGGAUAAGACAUGCAAGUCGAACGGGGUUGUUUGUGUAGCAAUACAUCGACAACCUAGUGGCGAACGGGUGCGUAACACGUGAGCAAUCUGCCGGGAAGUGGGGGAUAGCUCGCCGAAAGGCGAAUUAAUACCGCAUGAGGCCAGAGGGGACAUCCCUUCGACGCCAAAGUCGCAAGACGCUUCCUGAUGAGCUCGCGGCCUAUCAGCUUGUUGGUGAGGUAACGGCUCACCAAGGCUAUGACGGGUAGCUGGUCUGAGAGGACGACCAGCCACACUGGAACUGAGACACGGUCCAGACACCUACGGGUGGAAGCAGUCGAGAAUUUUUCACAAUGGGGGCAACCCUGAUGGAGCGACGCCGCGUGGAGGAUGAAGGUCUUCGGAUUGUAAACUCCUGUCAUGCGAGAACAAGAAAGUGAUGGUAUCGCAAGAGGAAGAGACGGCUAACUCUGUGCCAGCAGCCGCAGUAA
rnacentral:rRNA from 1 species